rfam:Triticum aestivum genome assembly, contig: Triticum_aestivum_CS42_TGACv1_scaffold_608377_7DL
UGCAUACUCCCCCCCAUCCGAAAAAGCUUGUCCCAAGAUUGUCCUCAAACGGGUGUAUCUAGCAUCAAGUUAGUGCUAGAUACAUUCAUUUGAGGGAUAAGCUUUUUCGGACGGAGGGAGUACUUA